rnacentral:rRNA from 1 species
CGACCAUUGAGUAGCGGCGGACGGGUGAGUAAUGUCUGGGAAACUGCCUGAUGGAGGGGGAUAACUACUGGAAACGGUAGCUAAUACCGCAUAACGUCUUCGGACCAAAGAGGGGGACCUUCGGGCCUCUUGCCAUCAGAUGUGCCCAGAUGGGAUUAGCUAGUAGGUGAGGUAAUGGCUCACCUAGGCGACGAUCCCUAGCUGGUCUGAGAGGAUGACCAGCCACACUGGAACUGAGACACGGUCCAGACUCCUACGGGAGGCAGCAGUGGGGAAUAUUGCACAAUGGGCGCAAGCCUGAUGCAGCCAUGCCGCGUGUGUGAAGAAGGCCUUCGGGUUGUAAAGCACUUUCAGCGGGGAGGAAGGCGGUGAGGUUAAUAACCUCAUCGAUUGACGUUACCCGCAGAAGAAGCACCGGCUAACUCCGUGCCAGCAGCCGCGGUAAUACGGAGGGUGCAAGCGUUAAUCGGAAUGACUGGGCGUAAAGCGCACGCAGGCGGUUUGUUAAGUCAGAUGUGAAAUCCCCGAGCUUAACUUGGGAACUGCAUUUGAAACUGGCAAGCUAGAGUCUUGUAGAGGGGGGUAGAAUUCCAGGUGUAGCGGUGAAAUGCGUAGAGACUGGAGGAAUACCGGUGGCGAAGGCGGCCCCCUGGACAAAGACUGACGCUCAGGUGCGAAAGCGUGGGGAGCAAACAGAUCAUA